UAGUUUUAAUAUCACUAAAAUAAUAUAAUAUUAUGAAAAUAACAAAAUUUGUAUCGAAUUUCCGACUUUUUCAAUGGCUACACUCAAUUGAAAACAGUUGUGAACGGCAAUAGCAAUAAUUAGUUUAGUUUUGUACAAGCUGAGUUGUCUCAGACACAACUCAACUAAGUUGAAUUGUGAACCAUAAUAGGGGCCGAUAUCACCAUUAGAUUUCUUUACUUGUUCUUAUGUAUACCCUUAAAGGUAGGUAUAAUCCAUUAAAUUUCCUUUACUUAAUUUCAAAUCAGGUCCACUGUAUUUGAUAUGUAUUUCUACAGUCGUUCGUUGGGUAGUUGCUGGUUUUACUGCUGUGCUGAUAUUUACCACUUUUGCUGUUGUCGUUGUUACUGUUGUUUUUUGCUGUCAUUAAUUUAACCGAUGUUGCUGCUAUAGCCGCUUUUAUUAUAAAUUUUAGUUGCUUGUUUUGUGCUUGUGUCACUAGUACAUACACGAAUAUGUAUGUAUGCAUGUGUGCAUGUGUUUUCUGCUGCUUUAGAGGUUUUAGUCGACAUUGACGUUACCAUCGCAUGCUUUACCUUCAGCCCGACGUCCCACACGUCCCUACAUCGAUCGACUGUCGCCUGCCAUUUACCCUGUUUUGCCUUUCGUACUCUACUGUUAUCAUCAUUUCAGGUCGGUCCGUCGGUCGUCCGUCCAUCCGACCGUUGCCAGUUAAGCAACCAGACAGCCAACCAUAGCUAGCAAACGAGCGCACACCAUUCAACUCAGCAGCACCAGCACCAAUUCAAGUCAACUCGCUUCAGUUCAUUGCGAUUCGUUGCGAUGUAGCCCGGUCUGGCCUGGCUUGGCUUGGCGCGGCACAACUUUUGCUUGUGCGGAGUUUCUUGUUUUCCUUCUCGUUGUGGCGUAGUACUCAUAGUCGACGUUGCUUGUCGUAAUUUUUGUCGAUUUUAUUAAUUCCCCUCUCUCCACUUGGUUUUUAUUUUAUUUUUGGUUGGUUUCAUUUAUUUUUUUUCUUCUUUUCUUUUGUGUGUGCUUUAAGUAAUUUUGUUAGUUCUUCGGUUCGCAUUCGAAAUACGCUCUACUACGAACAUAGAGCUACAAUUCAGUGAUUUUGGGCCGGAUCAAGAUGUAAUAGGUAUUGCUGGCACCGAAAGUUCCUGGUUUACCUCAGUCUCAGCCGAAAGCGAAAACGGCCGACAGAAGCAGUUAUCAAAGCUUUCGGAUGGUAGUUAAAGUUUACAGCAAUGGCACACAACAGAUGCAACCGGAACUACCAACAUUAGUACCAGAGUACCAAUAGCGGGAAGUCCGAAGGCUAGUUCCUCUCGCAAUAUUUAUAGAAACGAACCGUGGGACAUGCAGCGCAACCUCCAAACGUCCUGCGCCCUCCAGCAAUAAGCUCAUCACCCAACGAAUAGGAUUUGUUAAGCUUGCUUGCACAGGACUUUACAAGAAAUAACUAUUUCCCAAGCCGCAUCUUCGAUUCCCGUAUUGCUGCUUUAGUUCAGUCAGGCUGUUUGAAUGGACUAGAUCCAGAGAAGCGCUGUUGGAUGGAUGAAAGGCGCUAGUUUCCAUACCGAGCAUUUCUACGUAUCUAAUAAAGUACUUCACAUCGCCCGCGGCCACCUCAUCAAGAGUUGGAACUUGGUAUGAAUGAGCAGAAUGCUGUUCCAACAGAAGCGUUAUGCUUGACUAUAUAAGAUACCGCACAGACGAGGUUAACGACAAGUUUUUAUCUACAUAUGUAUAUGCACUUAUACGUAUUCCAACACUAGGGCUAUUGUUUGCGAGACUACAUUUAUAAACAAGCCCUUUUCUAACAAUUGUGAGAGGUAGCGGUAGUGACACCUUGCUAGUUGAGGGUCCCUCUUUACUUCCGUCGGCCUACAUGAGCGUGAUCCAAAGAGCCAACGGUUAUCUAUAUGCCCCGCGUGCUACUGAGCUCCUGUAGAUCUCUUGUGACCUAGAGUAAAAUGUUCGGCUUGAUUCCGGAACGAGCCUCUAAAAUGUCCCUAGACACCAGAAUGACAGCAAAAUCGGAUGGUUUAUGAGCCUCAUAGUUUCUCACAACAGCAACAGAGCUUCACCUACAUAUAUAUGUACAUAAAAGGGAAUAUUUCUCAAAAAGCUUGUUUUGGAGUUAGGCAUUUUAUGCAUUUAUUGAUUGCAUCAGGGAAAUUUUCAAACUAAGGCAGCUAUGCCUGUGCUGGUUGGUGGUGUAGCUGCUGGUGCCAUGGGCUCUUAAGUCGUUGCGAGUUUCACUUUGGCGCGCGUGGCACACAACACUACAUCGAUGGCAAUGCGACACACACACACACACAUAAAUACAUGCAUACCCAAUUAGCCACAGAACGAAGACGGGCUCGAAUCAAUUCGACGGCGUUAUAGUGAACUCGCCUUAUUGAACUUGAAAAACUUUCCGAAAUCAGUUCGAGUUUUGAGCCAGUUUAAACUUGUACUCUUUAUAAAUACUAAUUAUAUAAACGGGAUUUAAAAUUGGCUUUUUAAAAAUGGCUUUUUAAUUCUUAAAAUUCAUUGAAACUUAUGGACCUACAAAAAAGAACAAAAUGAAUUAAUUUAAAUAAUUUUUUAAAAAGAAAUAAUUUUUUUUUUGUGUUCUUGUAUAUUUGUUUUAACAGAGAAAAUAAGCAAUACUCCUGAAGAUGCUAGAAAAGGUUUAGCGAAACUUCGAGUAAAAAGUGGAAUAAUGUAAUUUUCAUUGCACCAAAGCUUAAAGAUCAGACUAGCCUAUAAACAUAAAAUUAAACAAAUUUGAACCGAUCGGGCAAAAAUAUAUUAAAAAAAUGUGUUUUAAAAUUGUAGUAUGGCAUACAUUUUUUCGCCUACGUGUCUUAUUUACAGCCCGCCGGCGAACUGUGCUUUUCAUCUUCGGACGAGUUCAGCAGCGAGCCAUCGACGAUGAACGGUGGCGUACAAAUUGUUCACCAGAAAGUUGAAGUCGAUACGAAGUCAUUUGGCAUAUUGGGUAUUUAUACUUACGUACGCACUAAGUAUAUACACAAGUAUUUAUUCGCCCAUUUUCGUACGUCGAUUCGUUAUAUCGUGGAUGGAACGUCCUCGAACAAACUCAAAGUACACAAAGCACCGGUUGCAACAAUAACAAACAGGCAAUCGAGCAAUAACGAUGGUUCAGACAAACAACAGUAAUAGCAGCACGUCAACGGCAACGGCGCAACAGGAACGACUGUGGCUAUGGCGGCAACGACAACAGCCGCAAUUGACGCUAGUCCGAUAGAGUCGGCGGAGCCAAAGUAUAAGCUACAGCAUUUGCAGCGGUGCUGGGCGAUGUACACCGCUCGUUUCUGUAAGCCUAACUGGAUGGCUGUUGGCACAAAUGCCUGCUUCGUUAGCACCGCAAUGCUGUGUGACUCGGCUGAAGUGGUUUGGUUGAUGUGGCGCGACAAAGUAAUCGCAUUUAGGUACAGUGGUGCAGUGCCACACUGGUUCGAUUAGGACUUUUCGCUUCUAAAGCCAAAUACUGCGAUAUAAUUCCAUGAUCUACUCAAGGUUUGAUUAAUUAAAUUGCAACAGAUGUCUUCGUCAGGCAUUGGGGAGCAUCCAUAGACAAUUAUUUGAAGCGAAAGGCCCGCCCGCGCCAGGUCCGCCAAUGAAGAACGUUCGUCAGGCAACGCGACGUCGAGAAUAUUCAGUUCAACGGAUAGCCGAAAAAUGUCGCAAUCGGCUCUCAGUACUGCAAGAAACUCUUCUUUGACGUGAUAUAAGUGAGCAGUAGCAAUCCAUCUCCCAGUCUCUUCGUGCCGCUGCGGAGGAAGUGGUUGGAUACUACCGCCCACGCAAGAGGAACUGUUAUUGCCGGACAGUAUCGUAUUUCUGCUGCGGAGAAAUAUACAGCACACAAAGCAACCGUGCAGCCAAUAGCUAUGCGGGCGACAGGUUAAUGGUACCAGGGGAUGAGGAUAUAGCAGAGAACUUUAUUCAAAAGAUAUACCAGAGGCUGAAAUACGUGAAUGCGAAGGGUUUCAAAUGUUGGCAGACAGGAAUGCGGCUGGAAAAUUCUAUAAGAAAAUAAGGCAGCAAUCAAAUGGUUUCAAUACCGGGGCUGGGGAGGCCAUCAAUAGGGCGGCUUAAAAGUAACGUGACUACCGGAGCCGACCGUAUACCGGCUCCGGCGGCGAAGAGGUGGUCGGCCGCCCGAAGAUUGGAAUGUCAGGGUACCUUAUCCAAUUCACAAGAAGGGAGAUCCCGAAGUUUACGCAAUACUGCUUGAAAGACCCAAGCCCUUCAGGAACCAAAUGAUUUGACUUACUCAGUGUUGCUUCAGACCUAGUAUGUCAGCCAACUUUCAGCUCCGGAAAAAUCGGGACGGACCUCUCCGUUAGAGACCAAACGAGGCUCUAUAUAAAAGGCGAUUCACUCUCGUGCUGGAAAGGUCAUAAGAGCUGGCAAUCCGGGUCGCAGCGGCACCACACAUAGCAAAACCUGACCUGAAACCCAGUAAUUCAGCGCAGCACUUUGCAGCUUAGAAAAAGAAGAUCAGAGAGCGGUGAACGAGGACAGGACAAAGUACUUGCUGGUUACACAUACAAAGUCUUCGCAUAUUAGGACACACGUCAGUGAUGACAGUCAUAACUCUGAAGUAGCGAAGAAUUUUAUCUACCUGGGAUCCAGCAUAUACAUUACCUAAAAUUCCAGCCUGGAGAUAAAGUGAAGAAUAACUCUUGCCAACAGUUGCUACUUUAGUCUCGGUAGCCAAUUUAAAAGAAAAGCGCCCUGCUGACGAACAAACGAAUCUCUCAUCAUGCCCGUGCUUUUAUGUGGCGCAGAGAUAUGGACGAUGGGAUAUUGGGUAAGCGGAGAAAAGUUCUUUCGACUACGCACCCAUUGGUGGACAGCGAAAGCUCUUGCGCUUACGAACUAAAUGGAAGGACGAAGUGCAGAAGGACCUGCCCGCACUUGUGAUGAACAACUGAGCUAAAUCCGCAAAAAAGAGAGGCAACUGACGAAAGUUUUUGGUCUCGACUCAAACCAAUAAACGGUUGCCAACUAUGAAGAAGAAAGCUUUGCUAUGAAUUUUCUUUGAAUUACUUUUACUUCUUUUUUAAUAUGGUUAUGUAAAUAAAAUAAUAACAUUUAAGAAUUCCCUAAAAGCAAGUAGGGCUAAUACAAGGUUUGAUUUCGAAACAAAUGGAACUUUUGAAGAUACAUUUGUCUUUUUUAUAUGUAAGAGUGUCUGCUUGCUUCUUUCUCUAAGAUUUGUCAUUGUGAUGUAAUAAUACGGUUUGUGGCGGAAGUUGUGGAGCUUUUAGUAGCAAAUUUCGGCAAUAUUUCCAGGUUGCACAAGCGGUGGGUGCAGCCUUUCAGUAUCACUUACCCCUCAUUUUCUUGCAAGAUAUCCUUAAUCCCAAUAACCGAUCGGUACAUUCAUUCAUCGCUUAGUCGAUUUGGGACAAUAAUAUUAACAAUAAAAAAGAAUAUAGCCAUAAAUACACGACGACAAUAUUAUCUGUAAAGGCACUUAGUAUCGUAGGUAAAAAUCUACGAAAAUAGGAAAUGUGUACCGGGAGCAAUAUGGGUAAACUGAGUUGGCUGAAAAUAGUAUGGCUGUCUUGUCAUGAAAUGUGAAUGAGAUAGAAUGCUUUUUCAAAAUAGUGCCCGUCGGUUCGACGUAGCAUAUCUUUUUCCGAUUAAAAAUAUCUAAUUUGAAACAGAGACGUAACUAAUAUGAUGAGAUCAGGAAAUAUUUUCUCCGUAUUAGCUACCUGAAAAACCGAAUCGCCCACUGUUCCCCAACUGCGACUCAUAUAACAUAAGUAUGUAUAGCCAACAGCUUAACGAACAAAGAGCAACAAUAACGAUGCAAAAAUAAUAAAAAACAAAAACAACAGCAUAAAGCUUCCACACACAUCGACAACGACAUCACCACCGGCAGUAACAACGGCAAUGGCGCGCACCUAGGCACCAGACAACAUCAAUGCACGAAUGCUACCUCAGCUGCGGUACAUUUGUGGAGCCAUGUAUUGAGGGUAUGAAAAAUUACGUUUAACUGAAAUUCAUGGAGAAACCAAAUUUAAAAACUAAAAAAAUGCGUCGCAAGACUGAAAAUACUUUUUGCCAGCUGUAUGCUAGGGCACAUACAUACAUAAGUAACUACAUAUAUUUUGUGUAUGUAUAUUUUCUUCUUCUUAUACUACUUCGAGUUGAUCGCGAACGCACCCAUCUUAUGACCGACUGCCACUUGAACGCAACGUAAAUUUAGAAUGCUGAGUGUCGUCAUCGCCGGAAUGUUUGGCUUUUUCACUUUAUUUUUUAUUAAUUAUUGCACUGAGGUAUUGAUGUGUCUGACUUAAAAAUAAACAUCUAAUUUUCGUUGGAGUCUUCGCAUAGAACCGACAGAUCGCACCCACUGUCAUUGUCAUUCGCGCAUUCAUUCAGUGGUUCACACACGCGCGUAGUAGACUGCACCCGCUCGGGAGAUCGAGCUUUUAUUUUAUGUAGCAGGCAUGCGGUCAGUUUGUAUACUACUGCCUCAUCCAACCCAACCUGUCAGCUUUCCCACCCUUUCAUCUAUAAUUAGCGUACAUUCUGAGCGUCCGUCUGUUGAUCGUCACUCCAGAUUUUGAAGAAGUAAAAUCUCUACCAACAACAUCCGUAAGCAAAGUCAUUUAUUAGUCACGGAGCUGCACCAGCAAUAAUUCUUCCGCCGUUACUUCUCCCCAUCAGCUCUUGUAAAUUGAAGGGAAAAAAUCUUGCGCUAAUUGUUGCCACUCGUCACAGCGUCGCACCAGCAGCAGCAGUUGUGGCGACUGCAGCUUUUCCAUCACUCGCCACUCACAGUUGGGU